rnacentral:rRNA from 1 species
AACGAACGCUGGCGGCAUGCCUAACACAUGCAAGUCGAACGAGACCUUCGGGUCUAGUGGCGCACGGGUGCGUAACGCGUGGGAAUCUGCCCUUGGGUUCGGGAUAACAGUUGGAAACGACUGCUAAUACCGGAUGAUGUCUUCGGACCAAAGAUUUAUCGCCCAGGGAUGAGCCCGCGUCGGAUUAGCUAGUUGGUAGGGUAAAAGCCUACCAAGGCGACGAUCCGUAGCUGGUCUGAGAGGAUGAUCAGCCACACUGGGACUGAGACACGGCCCAGACUCCUACGGGAGGCAGCAGUGGGGAAUAUUGGACAAUGGGCGAAAGCCUGAUCCAGCAAUGCCGCGUGAGUGAUGAAGGCCUUAGGGUUGUAAAGCUCUUUUACCCGGGAUGAUAAUGACAGUACCGGGAGAAUAAGCCCCGGCUAACUCCGUGCCAGCCGCCGCCGUAAGAC